rnacentral:rRNA from 1 species
ACUCCUACGGGAGGCAGCAGUGAGGAAUAUUGGACAAUGGGGCGAACCCUCGAUCCAGCCAUGCCGCGUGAGUGAUGACGGCCUUAGGUUGUAAGCUCUUUCGCUAGGGAAGAUAAUGACGGUACCUAGUAAAGAAGCCCCGGCCUAACUUCGUGCCAGCAGCCGCGGUAAUACGAAGGGGGCGUAGCGUUUGUUUCGGAAUCACUGGGCGUAAAGCGCGCGUAGGCGGACUUUUUAAGUCAGGGUGAAAUCCCGAGGCUCAACCUCGGAACUGCCUUUUGAUACUGGAAGUCUUGAGUUCGAGAGAGGUGAGUGGAAUACCGAGUGUAGAGGUGAAAUUCGUAGAUAUUCGGUGGAACACCAGUGGCGAAGGCGGCUCACUGGCUCGAUACUGACGCUGAGGUGCGAAAAGCGUGGGGAGCAAACAGGAUUAGAUACCCUGGUGGCACAGAG